rnacentral:rRNA from 1 species
GACGAACGCUGGCGGCGUGCUUAACACAUGCAAGUCGAACGAUGAAGAAGCGACACGCGCACUUCGGUUCCAAUUUCACUUCGGAUUAGUGGCAGACGGGUGAGUAACGCGUGAGCAACCUACCUCAUACAAAGGGAUAGCCUAGGGAAACCGUGAUUAAAACCAUAUGACACAUUCAUAAGGCAUCUUAAGAAUGUUGAAGCUACGGCGGUAAGUGAGGGGCUCGCGUCCCAUUAGCUAGUUGGUGAGGUAACGGCCCACCAAGGCGACGAUGGGUAACCGGCCUUGGAGGGUGGACGGUCACAUUGGAACUGGGACACGGUGCAAACUCCUAAGGGAGGCAGCAGGGGUGAAUAUUGCACAAUGGAUGGAGCUCUGAUGCAGCGACGCCGCGUGAGCGAUGAAGGAAUUCGUAUCGUAAAGCUCUGUUCUAUGGGAAGAAAAGGACUGAACCAAAGGAGAAAGCCCCGGCAACAUACGU